rnacentral:rRNA from 1 species
UACGGAGGGAGCUAGCGUUGUUCGGAAUUACUGGGCGUAAAGCGCACGUAGGCGGCUUUCUAAGUCAGGGGUGAAAUCCCGGGGCUCAACCUCGGAACUGCCCUUGAAACUGGAGAGCUAGAAUCUUGGAGAGGCGAGUGGAAUUCCGAGUGUAGAGGUGAAAUUCGUAGAUAUUCGGAAGAACACCAGUGGCGAAGGCGACUCGCUGGACAAGUAUUGACGCUGAGGUGCGAAAGCGUGGGGAGCAAACAGG